AGCCGCGACCACACGGGACUUUCCCUUGAGGGGAGACGGGGCAGGGAGCGGCCCGAGUCACACCCCCAAAUUAUCCUGGCUUUUGGGGUGCGGGUCUCCGAGGCGCCUAUGAGGCAACAAACACAUUAUUCCGUGACUUCCCGGCGGACUGGCCUGGCAGCACUGUGUGUGGAGGUUUUCAUGGUGCAUUUUGGAAUUUACAGUCUUAAGUGGCAGAGGAAGCGCCCAGGUGCCUUUGUACCCAAUUACCCUGGCCCUUGGCUAUGGAGGGAUGUUUGGGUAGUGUUCAGGUAGAGACUGGCUAAGUUGUUCGGGCUUAGUACCAGCCACUUGUUUUCAUGGUGUGCGAAGGGCAGAAAGCGUGUCGGAUGUGGCGUGUUCCCGAUAGGCGAUUUUAACAACGUGACUUGUGAAGCCUGGCGUCCUAACCUUAGAUAACUUUCACAGAAGACCCAUCCAAUCUUUAUUAUUCAUUCUGGUUGCUAUUUUUUUCCCUUUUUCAUACUUUUAUGUGAUUAUCAAGUAGCACAGAGUAUUUUAGGCAUAAAUGUACUAUAACAUCAAGAAUAAUUAUGAUAGCUAUUAUUUAUUGUCAGCUGCCUCUUUGUCAAACCUGUGGUGUAUACUUUGUACAUUUUAGCACUUUUAAUCUUCAGCACCUUUAAUCUUCACAACCACCCUAUGUGUAUUAUUGAUAAAUUAAUUUUACAUUUUAUAGUUGAGGAAAUAGAGAAGUAACUUGGCUAAGGCAAAGCAGCUAUUAAGUUCUGGAGCUUGGAUUUGAACCUAGGCUGCCUGAUUCAUAGCAUCCCUGAUUGCUGUAAUCCUUUGACUCUGGGCCAGAAAGCCUAUAUUGUAGUUAUGGCUCCAUCACUUAAUAGAUCUGUGUCCUUGGACAUGUUUUGUGGUGUCUUCGAAUCUUAUUUCUUAUAUCCUAAAAGUGGGAAAACUAAUUCAUUCACAGCCCACAGGGUUGUUAGGAUGAUAAUAUGAGAGAGAAUAUAUAUGAUAGAUCUUUGUAACAUAGUAAGGGUACAUUAUCUAUAUAUUUCACCAUAAACUCAUUCAACAAAGGUUUUUUGCAUGUUCAUUAUGUACCAGAUGUUGUUACUGGCAUUGAAAACCUGAAAAUAGGAUGACCAACUUAUCCUGGUUUUAGCAGUAAAAGCCCCAAGUCCCAGGAAUCCUCUGUGUUAAUUUCCUAUUGCUGCUGUAACAAGUUACCGAAAGUUUAGUGACUUAAAACAACAUACAUUUAUUAUCAGUUUUGUGGGUCAGAAGUCCAAAAUAAGUCUUAACUGGGCUAAAGUCAAGGUGUCAGCAGGCCUGGUUCCUUGAGGCUCUAAGGGGAAGAAUCUACUUCUUGACUUUUUCAGCUUCUUGGGUCUGCUUGCAUUCUGUUGAUUGCCAUUCAAAAAAGGAAAAAAAAAAAAACACUUGCCUUAAGUG